rnacentral:rRNA from 1 species
UACGGAAGGGGGCUAGCGUUGUUCGGAUUACUGGGCGUAAGGCGCACGUAGGCGGAUCGAUCAGUCAGGGGUGAAAUCCCAGAGCUCAACUCUGGAACUGCCUUUGAUACUGUCGAUCUGGAGUAUGGAAGAGGUGAGUGGAAUUCCGAGUGAUAGAGGUGAAAUUCGUAGAUAUUCGGAGGAACACCAGAAGCGAAGGCGGCCAACUGGCCCGAUACUGACGCUGAGGCGACGAAAGCGUGGGGAGCAAACAGG